CAGUGUGGAGCUGAUAGCACAUGUGCUGGGUACUGAGUGAUGUCAUACAAGGAGGGCAGAGAUUCUGUCCCUGACUUAAGGAAUUUAUCGGAGAGAGCAAGGGAGAGACAAGUUCUAACCUAAGUCAGAAUGUUUUUGUGAAAAUGCCAUGGAAACACAGAAGAAAAAAGAGAAUCCUGAUGAGGGGAAUUCAUCAAGGAGCUGAAGCAGUAAAACAGGUGGAGCUGGAAGGAACAGCAUACAAUUGGCCUGUAACACCAGGUGAACUGGAGAUGUAAUGACUUCCUUUUUUGUUUGGGAGGAUUCCUAAAUGUCAUUGAGAGACCCAAGACGUCUCAAUCUCUCUUAAUGCAAACGGGAAGCCAAGGGUUUUUAAAGGUGAAAUGGAUCUUGCUAAUGAAGAGAUAUCACUCUUGGUGGAGCACGCAGCUUGUUAGUUCGAGUUAGGUGAGUGUCAUGGGUUAGGGUUCAAGCAAAUGCAGGGUGUGACUAAAGAUGUCAUCUUUUAUUUAUCGAGCUUUUAAUAAACAUAAUUGAGUGGUUGGGCA
rnacentral:lncRNA from 1 species